rnacentral:misc_RNA from 1 species
UCCGAGUUGACCCCGGCAGUCUCCUAUGAGUCCCCGGCAUAACCCGCUGGCAACAUAGGACGAGGGUUGCGCUCGUUGCGGGACUUAACCCAACAUCUCACGACACGAGCUGACGACAACCAUGCACCACCUGUGCAGGAACCCUUGCGGACCUGACAUCUCUGCCAGUUUUCCCUGCAUGUCAAGCCUUGGUAAGGUUCUUCGCGUCGCUUCGAAUUAAGCCACAUGCUCCGCCGCUUGUGCGGGCCCCCGUCAAUUCCUUUGAGUUUUAGCCUUGCGGCCGUACUCCCCAGGCGGGGCGCUUAAUGCGUUAGCUGCGGCACCGAGGGGGUCGAUACCCCCGACACCUAGUCCGCAUCGUUUACGGCGUGGACUAC